rfam:Lepisosteus oculatus linkage group LG1, whole genome shotgun sequence.
AGCAGCAGCCAUAUCACUCUGCAACUCCCAACUAGCAGCCCACUGAAGCUAAGCAGGUGUGAGCCUGGUAAGUACCUGGAUGGGAGACCUCCUGGGAAAAACUAAGGUUGCUGCUGGAA